rnacentral:rRNA from 1 species
AAGCGUUGUUCGGAAUUAUUGGGCGUAAAGCGCGUGUAGGCGGCUCCUUAAGUCUGAUGUGAAAGCCCCGGGCUCAACCUGGGAAGUGCAUUGGAAACUGGGGAACUUGAAUACGGGAGAGGGUAGUGGAAUUCCUGGUGUAGGAGUGAAAUCCGUAGAUAUCAGGAGGAACACCGGUGGCGAAGGCGGCUACCUGGACCGAUACUGACGCUGAGACGCGAAAGCGUGGGGAGCAAACAGGAUUAGAUACCCUGGUAGUCCACGCCGUAAACGAUGGGUACUAGGUGUCGCGGGUAUUGACCCCUGCAGUGCC